AUCUAGCUGACGAGCCAUAAAUAGGACGAAACACGAGUCCUAGAU
rnacentral:hammerhead_ribozyme from 1 species